GAUGAAGAACGUAGCGAAAUGCGAUAAGUAAUGUGAAUUGCAGAAUGCAGUGAAUCAUCGAAUCUUUGAACGCAUCUUGCGCUCCUUGGUAUUCCUUGGAGCAUGCCUGUUUGAGUAUCAUGAGCAAAUCUCAAAGUCAAUUCCUUUUGUUAAUUCAAUUGGUUUUGCUUUGGACUUGGAGGUCUUGCAGAUUUCACAGUCUGCUCCUCUUAAAUGCAUUAGCUGGAUCUCAGUAAUUAUGCUUGGUUCCACUCGGCGUGAUAAGUAUCACUCGCUGAGGACACUGUUAAAAAGGUGGCCAGGAAAAUACUGAUUGAACCGCUUCUAACGGUCUAUUAAGUUAGACAAUUACCCUUAAGUUUGAUCUCAAAUCAGGUAGGACUACCCGCUGAACUUAAGCAUAUCAAUAAGCGGAGGA
rnacentral:misc_RNA from 1 species